rnacentral:rRNA from 1 species
CCCUUAGAUGUUCUGGGCUGCACGCGCGCCACACUGAUGCACUCAACGAGUUUACGACCUUGCCCGAUAGGGUUGGGUAAUCUUUUUAAAAUGCAUCGUGAUGGGGAUAGAUUAUUGCAAUUAUUAAUCUUCAACGAGGAAUUCCUAGUAAGCGCGAGUCAUCAGCUCGUGCUGAUUACGUCCCUGCCCUUUGUACACACCGCCCGUCGCUCCUACCGAUUGAGUGCUCAGGUGAAUAAUUCGGACUGCAGCAAUGUUUGGAUCCCGAACGUUGCAGCGGAAAGUUUAGUGAACCUUAUCACUUAGAGGAAGGAGAAGUCGUAACA